UACGUAGGGUGCAAGCGUUGUCCGGAAUUAUUGGGCGUAAAGAGCUCGUAGGCGGUCUGUCGCGUCGGCUGUGAAAACUCGGGGCUCAACCCCGAGCCUGCAGUCGAUACGGGCAGACUAGAGUGCGGUAGGGGAGACUGGAAUUCCUGGUGUAGCGGUGAAAUGCGCAGAUAUCAGGAGGAACACCGGUGGCGAAGGCGGGUCUCUGGGCCGUAACUGACGCUGAGGCACGAAGGUCAGGGGAGCAAACGGG
rnacentral:rRNA from 1 species